rnacentral:lncRNA from 1 species
AUGGAUUAUCGCGUUUGUCUAGCUCUGCUAAGUCUACUCUUCACCGAGCUUUUACCGAUAGUUCUAAGCCAAACUAUUGAUCCUUUUGAUAUGCGAGAUUAUGAUCGUAAAACAAAAACGAUGAAAAGCACCAGUAACAUGCUCUCAUUGGUUGAUCAAGAUCAACAGCAAUGCGCUGACUGCCUUAGGUUUAUUCAAGAGUACUGUGAAACUAAUGUUGCAAACCAACUUCAGACUCAUCCUUCUGUCGCAAUGAAGGCAUCUGAUAUGCCACAUGAUGAAAUGUUCCGAACUCACAUGAUGCGAUUGAUCAAUGUGUUGCUGAAUAAAUCAGGAUUUAAAGAAUCAGAAAAAGGGUCCAAAGAUCAAGAAUCAUUAUUGUCUGUAAAGCUCAGUCCAAACCAAGUAUCAAUCUUAAAAGAGUUUGGACGGUCUGGAAACCCUGCUGUCUUACGGGAUAUUAAUGAUAUUUUAUCCACCCAAGUAACUUCUUACUAUCCACCAAUUUGUGCUGAUGACAUGUUUCAAAAAAUCUACGGAGCCAAGGAAUUUUUCUCCCAAAGUGUAAGUUCUUUUUGGUUUUUUCCACUCAGUGAAUCUCUAUCUGGAGUUUUGAAUUCUGGUAUUAUUGCAUACCCUGGCUGAUACUAUCUAAGUAAUUGACAGUCAAAUUAUCCAUCUGAUUUUUCUCAAAAAUUUAACUCCAUUUUUUUACAGUCAAUACACGGGCUUGAAGGUAAAUAACUUUCCUUAUCCAAUGAGAUUCCUCCAAUAGAAAUUGGGCUGUUGCAAGAUCCAAGAAUUGCCUUGAUAGAAGGUGUUUUAGAGGUCAAUUUUAGCAGGAAGCACGUCUCUGAGCUUGAAGCCCUUUAUUACCAGGCUAGAUUCUACUUGUGCAUGCCCCAUAGUGGAAAUCAAUUUUCAUGGAAAUUUUAAGUGCAUUCUGUCGGGCAGUGUCUAAAGCCAUAUUUCAGAUCCUCCUGGACAAAAAUAGAUACAAAUGUGAAUAAUUCUGAGUUAAAGCUGUUGAAUGAUGGUAGGAAUGUUGCGGGGAGCACACAGUUAAAUUAAAGGCCGAUGCUGGGUUCAUCGUAAAGAGAGGGGAAAAGAGCUCAAAGUAGUUUUUUUUACCAAAAAAGACCAAAGAGGCCUAUUUCAUCGAAAUCCUCCCAAUUCAAUUGAUAUCUCUCUUUAAUUUUUCAUUUUGUUUUGAUUUCUUUCAGACUCUCAUUGUUUUGGGUAUUAUUUUCAUGGCUGGGGCCUUUUUCUACAAUAUUUUUGUGCUGAAGCAAAUCAGAUUGGCAUUCUUAUGUCUCUUUGCAACGAUAUUUUUCACCGGAUACUUUUGGACCUACUGGAAAUUAUAUGAAGUAAGUGGAGAUUGUGUCUAAACUAUGUAAAUUAUCUAAAAUAAUGCGCCGAUUAUUCAAUGAUUUAUGGGAAGGGCUGCGGCGGGUUUCGGAAAAGGAAGAUAAUCCAAAUCCCAAAAAGAUUGAAAAAUGUUAUUUCAAGCUCUGUUUGUAUUGGGAAAGCACAAGCUUGGCCAAAUCACCAUCGUAUUUGUAAAACGCACUUAGUCAUUGGAAAAACCAAAGAAAACCCUCACAUAUAUUCAAUUUUUGCCCAAAAAAAGGGUUUUUGUUGUGAUGGCCUAGCAUUAAAUAUACUUAAAAAUAUUUAGUGCCUCACAUUUUUUUUUUUUUUUGUGAAUUAAUAGUUCUUUCAUAACCACUUAGGUACCUCUGUUGUUUUGUUGAACUGAAGUUUGGAAUUUCUCAUUCCUUCCUGCUGUUGAAAUUACAGCAGCCGCUGCCCUUUCUGUAGUGAGUAUCUGCCUAUUUUUAAACCCAAGGACUAGCUUAUUUUGGGCUGUAGGAUGAUUUUCUAUUUUUUCCACACCUCUGUCCAUCCAUCCUCCCCACCCUAAAAUAUUUAUUGAUGUUACCUUUUUUUCAGGAAGUAAUGUCUGACAUUAGGAGAAUAACAACUCAUCAUGAUAUGAGAGACUGCUAUCCUCGCACUGAAACUUUUUGGUGGUUCUUUACUAUGAGUAAGUAUUGUUUUGUUUCUUUCUAUUUGUGUUCUGGUUCUCAUGUCCUCCCCUUCUUUCUCUCAUGAUUUAGAGGAAAGUUGAAAGAUUAUGAAAAGGUAUGAAACGAAAGAAGGUGUUAGCAUUUUGGGCAUCUUGGAAAAAGGUUGAUAAGAUUAGUGAGAACAUACAAUCAUUUUUGUUAUUGAUUCUCUCCGGGAAGGUUUGAUUUUCAGGAAAAAGUCUUACCACGAAAAGUGUCUAAAGACAAAAUUUGAGUUGUUCGAUCUUUUCACUGUGAUUUCUGUGAAAAUCAGAUGAGAAAACACAUAAGUUGAUGCCGAAUAUGUUAUUUUGUCUUGUGGUCCAUUACACCAAAACAGUAGGCAUUAUGGCCCUUUUUCCAUUUUUUAAAUUUCUAAAUUUGCAGGAUUAUUGACGAGGUGCCGUACUGUAUCAACCUACGCGUCAGUGCAAACAAAUGAGAAACUGCCUUCAGCUUCUUUUCUUUCUGUACUCGUAAUGAUUUUAACAGCUUUUAGAUUGAAACAAGGGAGGAUAUUUGAACAUGAUACAAUCGCAAUUACUACAGAGCAGAAUAGUAGUAGGGUCCUCUCAUUUUUUGUAUUACAUUAGAUCUAAAGUCUAGAGUCUAAUAGUACUUGUCCCUAAAGAACUUCAAAAUCUAAGGCAAAAUACAAACAUCCUUCAAAAUAUCAAGAAUUUUCAAAUAAUAUUAGCUAAAUCUACCUGAGUCCUUCGCCAUUAAAUCUAAUUGAAGAUUACUCAUGGCAAUCAAAACAGACACCCAAACAAAAAGUUUAUUUUGUGGAUGGUUGAAAUUAGGUCUGUUGGAAGUCUUUUUGUAUUGUUGCAAGUUUGAUCUUGCAACAGGGUAGUUGUUUGUCACCAGCAUUAUUUAAGGUAAUUCAAAGUGAUCUGGGGACGAGAUCCGCCAUUAUGUUGCUCUACCACUCAGUCUAUGUCUUAGAGAAGCAAUAAUUAUCGCAAUGUACAAAUUAAUGCCUGAAACUGAUUUAUGAAUUGUAGCAGUAUUGACAGGGCAGUAUGAUAUCAAAUUUGUGAGGACUCAUUGAAAAUUUAUAUUGGAAACUGCCCUAACAGACUCUGCUACAUGUUAUGGAUCAGUUUCUUGCAUUAACUUGUGCAUUAUGAAAAUUAUUGCUUCCCUCAGACACAACUGUGUAGCAUCCCAAUGUAAGGGCAGGUUUACCCCUUGAACACUUAGAAUCACCUUAAGGUGCACCUAGAACUUGUUUGAAAGGAAUGUUUAGUUAGAUCAGAAUUGAUGCAUCGAUUUUUGCAAUCUUAAAUUUCAAUUUUACUGGCUUUUUUUAUUAGCUUGUUUAUGUAUCAUAUUUUUUAUUUCUAACUUAUGUCACACUCUCUCACGCUGUCCUAAAUGGCACAAAUUUCUCUUUCCCUGUAGCUACUCCUGCGGAUGAUCGUAAAUGCAAAGAAUUAUACGAUGCCAAGCAUAUAACGCCUCUUUCCAGACUAACUCCUACAAUAGUUUUCUUCGAAACGAUAA